ACGCGAACCCAGGUCAGGC
rnacentral:rRNA from 1 species